UACGGAGGGUGCGAGCGUUGUCCGGAAUCACUGGGCGUAAAGGGCGCGUAGGCGGCCUGAUAAGUAGGGGGGUGAAAUCUUGCGGCUUAACCGCAAGGCUGCCUUCUAAAACUGUCGGGCUAGAGCACAGUAGAGGCAGGUGGAAUUCCCCGGUGUAGCGGUGGAAUGCGUAGAGAUCGGGAAGAACAUCAGUGGCGAAGGCGGCCUGCUGGGCUGUUGCUGGACGCUGAGGCGCGACAGCGUGGGGGAGCAAACAGG
rnacentral:rRNA from 1 species